CCUACGGGGAGCAGCAGUGAGGAAUAUUGGUCAAUGGGGGCGAGCCUGAACCAGCCAAGUAGCGUGAAGGAUGACUGCCCUACGGGUUGUAAACUUCUUUUAUAAAGGAAUAAAGUGAGGCACGUGUGCCUUUUUGCAUGUACUUUAUGAAUAAGGAUCGGCUAAUUCCUUGCCAGCAGCCGCGGUAAUACGGAGGAUCCGAGCGUUCUCCGGAUUUAUUGGGUUUAAAGGGAGCGUAGAUGGGUGGUUAAGGAAGUUGUGAAAGUUUGCGGCUCAACCGUAAAAUUGCAAUUGAUACUGGCAGUCUUGAGUACAGUUGAGGUAGGCGGAAUUCGUGGUGUAGCGGUGAAAUGCUUAGAUAUCACGAAGAACUCCGAUUGCGAAGGCAGCUUACUAAACUGCCACUGACGUUGAUGCUCGAAAGUGUGGGUAUCAAACAGGAUUAGAUACCCCAGUAGUC
rnacentral:rRNA from 1 species